rnacentral:rRNA from 1 species
UACGUAGGGGGCAAGCGUUGUCCGGAAUCAUUGGGCGUAAAGCGCGUGUAGGCGGUUCGAUUAGUCUGCUGUGAAAGUCAGGGGCUCAACCCUUGAAUGCCGGUGGAUACUGUCGGGCUAGAGUGCGGAAGAGGCGAGUGGAAUUCCUGGUGUAGCGGUGAAAUGCGCAGAUAUCAGGAGGAACACCAAUUGCGAAGGCAGCUCGCUGGGACGUUACUGACGCUGAGACGCGAAAGCGUGGGGAGCAAACAGG